rnacentral:snoRNA from 1 species
UAGGCCCUGAAUCAAGACCAGUUGUUCUCUGUAGCUGAUUUCAUUCUGCAGCCAAAAGUGUGAUAAUCCUUUUGUCUGCUGGCUAUUCAGUAUUUAUGUGAGAAGGGCCAAUUCAUUUGAAACCUAG